UCUUAAAACCAAAAUUCUCAUGCUUCUAUAAAGAAAAUCCUUGAAAAUCAAAUUAGCAACAUUAUUGCUUAAAAAAAUGUCAAGAAAUGGAAUGGAGGCAAAUUAUGAUGUUCGGAAACAGGGAAUAUUUAUUCUUGGAAUAACUGCACAGGCUUCAUAUCAGUUUAUUCUGUGUUCUCCUUCAAAUAGGUGUGCAAGUUUUACCUGUAUCAUCUUUUGCCUUUCAAAUAAUCACUCUGUAUCUAUAAAGUGUGCAGAUUCUGCUGGCAAAAGCAACAGGUAAGAAAACAGCUAUCAAAGAGAACCUAUUCUUCUGCCCUUCCCCCUUUACAUGGAGAAAAUCAAAUAGGAGAAAGCAGGGUAAGAAAAAUACUGUUCUUGGAGAGUAAAACUCUCCCAAAUCCACCUUCCUCCUUCCUAGGUCAGCACUGUUGCUAUUGGAAGCUGUUUGCCUGAAGAACAACAGCUAACCUCUUGAUGAUUUGUGAAGAAAUCUGAAGCUGAUUUGUGUCAGAGGGAGGAAUGGUGUUCUGUUUUACUCUACCAGCAUCUUACAGCCUUUCUGUUAUGACACUCGAAGAAGUUCUGUACCCAAGGAAUUAGGAUUUUGCCCAAGGACCUAAAGUCUGAAUCCAUUGUGGGAUUCUCUGAUCCGGAGAGUAAGGAAUAUGCUCGUACCCUUAGCUGUUUUUGAAACAAAACUUCAUAAGGCAGAUCACUAGCUUAAUGACCGCAUAAUUAAUACACAACCACAGGAACACUGAGACUGCAGCAAUUCCUACUCUUGUAUAAGUGGGUGAAUCACAAAGGUAUCUCUUUUUCUGCCUUCUUUAUUCCAACAUGAGGAAUAGCCAGUUCUACCAGGAGUGAUAUUAUGGGUUACUACACCCUUCUUCACAGUUGUACAGCUUGAUGUAAUUUAAGUAUAAAAGAUACAAA